rnacentral:rRNA from 1 species
CCCUUAGAUGUUCUGGGCAGCACGCGCGCUACAAUGGUCUUCGCAAACGGAUGCAUUCUCGAAGGAGAAUGCCAAUCUUGGAAUCUAUGCCUUGGUCGGGACAGUUGCUUGCAAUUUUUCGACUCGAACCAGGAAUUCCUUGUAAUCGUGAUUCAUCACAUCACGAUGAAUACGUCCCUGCCCUUUGUACACACCGCCCGUCGCUACUACCGAUUGAAUGGUUUAGCGAGAACCUCGGAUCAGAUCCCUAUUGUGUGCAAACGCAGUGUUGGAUAUGAAAAGAUGUUCAAGCUUGAUCAUUUAGAGGAAGUAAAAGUCGUAACA